CACCACCGGCGGACGGCUCAGUAACACGUCGGUAACCUACCCUCGGGAGGGGGAUAACCCCGGGAAACUGGGGCUAAUCCCCCAUAGGCCUGAGGUACUGGAAGGUCCUCAGGCCGAAAGGGGCUCUGCCCGCCCGAGGAUGGGCCGGCGGCCGAUUAGGUAGUUGGUGGGGUAACGGCCCACCAAGCCGAAGAUCGGUACGGGCCAUGAGAGUGGGAGCCCGGAGAUGGACACUGAGACACGGGUCCAGGCCCUACGGGGCGCAGCAGGCGCGAAACCUCCGCAAUGCGGGCAACCGCGACGGGGGGACCCCCAGUGCCGUGGCACAGCCACGGCUUUUCCGGAGUGUAAAAAGCUCCGGGAAUAAGGGCUGGGCAAGGCCGGUGGCAGCCGCCGCGGUAAUACCGGCGGCCCGAGUGGUGGUCGCUAUUAUUGGGCCUAAAGCGUCCGUAGCCGGGCCCGUAAGUCCCUGGCGAAAUCCCACGGCUCAACCGUGGGGCUUGCUGGGGAUACUGCGGGCCUUGGGACCGGGAGAGGCGGGGGGUACCCCUGGGGUAGGGGUGAAAUCCUAUAAUCCCAGGGGGACCGCCAGUGGCGAAG
rnacentral:rRNA from 1 species